rnacentral:tRNA from 1 species
GGUUCUAUGGUGUAAUGGUUAGCACUUCGGAUUCUGAUUUAGUCACGUGUUCCGGCGAUCCCAGUUCGAUCCCGGGUAGGACCU